rnacentral:lncRNA from 1 species
CAUCACAAUAUAGAAAUUCUUUAGAAGAUAUAACCUUGUGAUGAAAAAGGUCAAAUAAUUUUUAUUAUUUAUCUAUUCAUAUAUAUUUAUAAUUAGCAUAAUUAUCAAACGAUUGACUUUAGGAUAUUUUCCAAUAUACCUUAGUGGAAAUUUCAGAAUUAUCUCUUGCAAAUGGCAUAGUCUCAUAUUGAACUCCUCCAGAUACUAAUUGAGUAUGGGUAUAGGAGGAAUUGAACUCUAUUAGAUAUAGUCUGGUCCAUUAUGAAGUUCACUCAGUCUCUAACCCUUAUUUCCUUAAGGACAUACUUUAAUCUAUUGAAUGGGGUUGUCAGCCUAUGUCGAAAGACAACAAGCAGAUAAGUUAAAAGCUAGGUCUAUAAAGGCUCGCUUAAUAAGAUAUCCUAAAGAGUUAUCAAGAUACUAAUUUUACUUUCCAAUGGAUGACAAUAUGAUUGUGAACCAUCAUACUAUAUUUUUAGAAAAUAGUUUAUCCAAGAUGGUGUAGUGGAAAGAAAUUGAGCUUGAAGAGAGUCUCUGAAAAGCAAUGAGCUGAAGAUCUAGUUGAACCCAUUCAAUCUGAGCCAGUUAGUAUCAAACCUCAUCCACC